rnacentral:rRNA from 1 species
GCCGGGCGACGGUUGUCCCGGUUUAAGCAUGUAGGCUGGUUAUCCAGGCAAAUCCGGAUAAUCAAGGCUGAGGUGUGAUGACGAGGCACUACGGUGCUGAAGUAACAAAUGCCCUGCUUCCAGGAAAAGCCUCUAAGCAUCAGGUAACAUCAAAUCGUACCCCAAACCGACACAGGUGGUCAGGUAGAGAAUACCAAGCGCUUGAGAGAACUCGGGUGAAGGAACUAGGCAAAAUGGUGCCGUAACUUCGGGAGAAGGCACGCUGGUGUGUAGGUGAAGUCCCUGCGGAUGGAGCU